rnacentral:lncRNA from 1 species
CUCACAGAAGCUAUGGGCCCCAAGGGAAGGAGGCGUGGGGACUGUGUGCCCAGGGAGAUUAGGAAGUGAGAACAGAUAACUCGCCCACUUGUGACCGAUGAGUGAGCGACGCCCAGUCCACUCGGGCACACAGUGGCUCUCUGAGGAACGUUUCAUGGAGGUGCCCUUGUCUCCGUACAGAAGAUUCUAGAAGGCUUUGGGUGUGUGUCUGUCAGUGGCAGAGCCGCUUCAGGCAGGUCCCUGUUUCAAAGGCUCCACAGCCUUCAGAUGGUAACAUAGCCGAAGACCCAGUAUUUGAAACGAAAACCUAUGGGAGAUGUUUUAGAUUCAAACCAUGAUACCCUAGUGACCUGAAGUCCUUCAGCUAGACCCCAACUUUUUAUAGGAUCCACCAUCUUUCAGUGGUACCACGGGCUGCUGGCCAAGCCUUUUCAUAAGCCUUUGGGGACAACUCUGAUCCAAAUAAUAACAGCCCACUUGGGAGGUGCUCUUGGCAUCUCAUGAGUAGACAUUGAGGUUGCUGCUGGCAGUCCUUUUGUCAGCGUCACCCAACCCCGACUGUGAUGAGAUCGAUGUGAGACAAGCUAUGGAGAUGCGAUUGUAUUGGUUCAGGUCAAUGUGUACUCAAUGAAAGGAUGUGUGAAAAAUGUGCUCAUCUGUGGCUGGGCUUGGGGGUGACUCAAUGGGAAGAUCACUCUCCCGUCAUGCACCAAACCAUGGACUGGAUCCCCUGCAUAGCAUAAACUGGCGCUGGUGACUGUUUUGGGCUGGGCACUGUCGUCGAAGGUAUGUUCAGCUAUGACAGCCCAAGGACAGCUACUGAGGACAUUUGCCUGCUUUUGAAGCUGCACACCGUUUCUGAAUUCUCCGCAGCGCUGAGGCUUAUCUCCGGGCGCCACACCGUCUUAUCUGAAGUUUUCUUCCUUUCGUCUUCCUGAGAAGAUUUAUAACCCAGAAAAGCCACGCCAUGAUUUCUGCUUCCAAAAUUGUAUUCUGGUUGUUUUAUUUUGCUCCCUGUCCUCCGUUGGCUUCGAGGAUGCUGUUGAGCAAUCUACAAAUUCCCAGAGUGUCUGUGACUUUGUAGGCACCGUUGGCCGUUAUCUUUGCUGUGUCUUUUAUAGAAUGUUCAUAAAUUCCAGGUUAUC